AUGCCACUGUCGGACAAGAAACUGAAGAAGAAUGACCUACAGCCGAUCUGCGACAAGCUCAUUGCAAGGAUGAAGGGCUGGAAGCCUGCAUUUCUUUCCCUUGAUGGUCGGCUGGACUUGGUAAGGACCGUGCUCUCGGCGAUGCCGAUCUUCCAAAUGCUAGCCUUGAUAUUACCUGCUUGGCUGGCUAAGCUGAUCGACAAGGUUCGUCGUGGAUUCCUUUGGGAGGGCAGUGAAGUAGCGGCUGGAGGAAAAUGCCUGGUCAACUGGGGUUCUGUUUGUCGGCCAAAGGAUCUCGGAGGGCUCGGCAUCAUGGACCGACGGCAACAAGGCAUGGCAGGGGCUGGAUUUGCCUAUCGACCACACGGUCAGAUCCCUGUUCAACGCAUCUGUUCACUUCCAGCUGGGCAAGGGUGA
rnacentral:rRNA from 1 species